GACGAACGCUGGCGGCGUGCUUAACACAUGCAAGUCGAACGGAAAGGCCCUGCUUUUGUGGGGUGCUCGAGUGGCGAACGGGUGAGUAACACGUGAGUAACCUGCCCUUGACUUUGGGAUAACUUCAGGAAACUGGGGCUAAUACCGGAUAGGAGCUCCUGCUGCAUGGUGGGGGUUGGAAAGUUUCGGCGGUUGGGGAUGGACUCGCGGCUUAUCAGCUUGUUGGUGGGGUAGUGGCUUACCAAGGCUUUGACGGGUAGCCGGCCUGAGAGGGUGACCGGCCACAUUGGGACUGAGAUACGGCCCAGACUCCUACGGGAGGCAGCAGUGGGGAAUAUUGCACAAUGGGCGGAAGCCUGAUGCAGCAACGCCGCGUGCGGGAUGACGGCCUUCGGGUUGUAAACCGCUUUCGCCUGUGACGAAGCGUGAGUGACGGUAAUGGGUAAAGAAGCACCGGCUAACUACGUGCCAGCAGCCGCGGUGAUACGUAGGGUGCGAGCGUUGUCCGGAUUUAUUGGGCGUAAAGGGCUCGUAGGUGGUUGAUCGCGUCGGAAGUGUAAUCUUGGGGCUUAACCCUGAGCGUGCUUUCGAUACGGGUUGACUUGAGGAAGGUAGGGGAGAAUGGAAUUCCUGGUGGAGCGGUGGAAUGCGCAGAUAUCAGGAGGAACACCAGUGGCGAAGGCGGUUCUCUGGGCCUUUCCUGACGCUGAGGAGCGAAAGCGUGGGGAGCGAACAGGCUUAGAUACCCUGGUAGUCCACGCUGUAAACGGUGGGUACUAGGUGUGGGGUCCAUUCCACGGGUUCCGUGCCGUAGCUAACGCUUUAGGUACCCCGCCUGGGGAGUACGGCCGCAAGGCUAAAACUCAAAGGAAUUGACGGGGCCCCGCACAAGCGGCGGAGCAUGCGGAUUAAUUCGAUGCAACGCGUAGAACCUUACCUGGGUUUGACAUGGAUCGGGAGUGCUCAGAGAUGGGUGUGCCUCUUUUGGGGUCGGUUCACAGGUGGUGCAUGGCUGUCGUCAGCUCGUGUCGUGAGAUGUUGGGUUAAGUCCCGCAACGAGCGCAACCCUUGUUCACUGUCGCCAGCACGUUAUGGUGGGGACUCAGUGGAGACCGCCGGGGUCAACUCGGAGGAAGGUGGGGAUGACGUCAAGUCAUCAUGCCCCUUAUGUCCAGGGCUUCACGCAUGCUACAAUGGCUGGUACAGAGAGUGGCGAGCCUGUGAGGGUGAGCGAAUCUCGGAAAGCCGGUCUCAGUUCGGAUUGGGGUCUGCAACUCGACCUCAUGAAGUCGGAGUCGCUAGUAAUCGCAGAUCAGCAACGCUGCGGUGAAUACGUUCCCGGGGCU
rnacentral:rRNA from 1 species